UACGUAGGGGGCUAGCGUUGUCCGGAAUCAUUGGGCGUAAAGAGCGCGUAGGCGGCUAGAUAAGUCCGGUGUGAAAGUCACAGGCUCAACCUGUGAAUGCCGCUGGAAACUGUCUGGCUAGAGUCCGGAAGGGGCGAGCGGAAUUCCUGGUGUAGCGGUGAAAUGCGCAGAUAUCAGGAGGAACACCAAUGGCGAAGGCAGCUCGCUGGGACGGUACUGACGCUGAGGCGCGAAAGCGUGGGGAGCAAACAGG
rnacentral:rRNA from 1 species